UACCCCGCUGAAACUUAAGCAUAUCAAUAAGCGGAGGAAAAGAAACUAACAAGGAUUCCCCUAGUAACUGCGAGUGAAGCGGGAAGAGCUCAAAUUUGAAAUCUGGCGGCUCCGCCGUCCGAGUUGUAAUCUGGAGAAGCGUUUUCCGUGCCGGACCGUGUACAAGUCCCUUGGAACAGGGCGUCAUAGAGGGUGAGAAUCCCGUCUUUGACACGGACUCCCGGUGCUCUGCGAUGCGCUCUCGAAGAGUCGAGUUGUUUGGGAAUGCAGCUCAAAAUGGGUGGUAAAUUCCAUCUAAAGCUAAAUAUUGGCGAGAGACCGAUAGCGAACAAGUACCGUGAGGGAAAGAUGAAAAGCACUUUGGAAAGAGAGUAAAACAGUACGUGAAAUUGUUGAAAGGGAAACGCUUGGAGUCAGUCGCGUCUUCUGGAACUCAGCCUUGCUUCUGCUAGGUGCACUUUCCAGUUUGACGGGUCAGCAUCGGCUUUGGGAGGCGGACAAAGGCGUGGGGAAGGUGGCAGCUCCGGCUGUGUUAUAGCCCCGCGUUGUACGCGUCUCCCGGGACCGAGGAAUCCGGCGCUCGUCGCCUGGGAUGCUGGCGUAAUGGCUUUAAGCGACCCGUCUUGAAACACGGACCAAGGAGUGCUACAUGCUCGCGAGUGUUUGGGUGGAAAACCCGAGCGCGCAAUGAAAGUGAAAGUCGAGACCCUUUGCGGGGGCACCGACGCCCGAGCCUGAAGUUUACGGACGGCCUUGCGGUAGAGCGAGUAUGUUGCGACCCGAAAGAUGGUGAACUAUUCCUGAGGAGGGCGAAGCCAGAGGAAACUCUGGUGGAGGCUCGUAGCGGUUCUGACGUGCAAAUCGAUCGCAGGACUUGGGUAUAGGGGCGAAAGACUAAUCGAACCAUCUAGUAGCUGGUUCCUGCCGA
rnacentral:rRNA from 1 species